UACGUAGGGGGCAAGCGUUGUCCGGAAUCAUUGGGCGUAAAGAGCGUGUAGGCGGCCCGAUAAGUCCGCUGUGAAAGUCCAGGGCUCAACCCUGGGAUGCCGGUGGAUACUGUCGGGCUCGAGUCCGGAAGAGGAGUGUGGAAUUCCUGGUGUAGCGGUGAAAUGCGCAGAUAUCAGGAGGAACACCAAUGGCGAAGGCAGCACUCUGGGACGUGACUGACGCUGAAGACGCGGAAAGCGUGGGGGAGCAAACAGG
rnacentral:rRNA from 1 species